AUUGAACGCUGGCGGUAGGCUUAACACAUGCAAGUCGAGCGGUAACAGAGAAUAGCUUGCUAUUCUGCUGACGAGCGGCGGACGGGGGAGUAACGCGUAGGAAACUGCCUGGUAGUGGGGGAUAGCCCAGAGAAAUUUGGAUUAAUACCUAAUACCGCAUACGCCCUACGGGGAAUAGGGGCUUCGGCUCUUGCUAUCAGAUGUGCCUGCGUAAGAUUAGCUUGUUGGUGAGGUAAUGGCUCACCAAGGCGACGAUCUUUAGCUGGUCUGAGAGGAUGAUCAGCCACACUGGAACUGAGCCACAGUCCAGACUCCUACGGGAGGCAGCAGUGGGGAAUAUUGCACAAUGGGCGAAAGCCUGAUGCAGCCAUACCGCGUGUGUGAAGAAGGCUUUCGGGUUGUAAAGCACUUUCAGCAGGGAGGAAGGCGUUGUAGUUAAUACCUGCAAAUCUUGACGUUAGCUGCAGAAUAAGCACCGGCGAACUCCGUGCCGGCAGCCGGGGUAAUACGGAGGGUGCGAGCGUUAAUCGGAAUUACUGGGCGUAAAGCGCAUGCAGGUGGUUUGUUAAGUCAGAUGUGAAAGCCCGAGGCUCAACCUCGGAAGGUCAUUUGAAACUGGCAAACUAGAGUACUGUAGAGGGGGGUAGAAUUUCAGGUGUAGCGGUCAAAUGCGUAGAGAUCUGAAGGAAUACCAGUGGCGAAGGCGGCCCCCUGGACAGAUACUGACACUCAGAUGCGAAAGCGUGGGGAGCAAACAGGAUUAGAUACCCUGGUAGUCCACGCCGUAAACGAUGUCUACUUGGACGUUGUGGCCUUGAGCCGUGGCUUUCGGAGCUAACGCGUUAAGUAGACCGCCUGGGGAGUACGGUCGCAAGAUUAAAACUCAAAUGAAUUGACGGGGGCCCGCACAAGCGGUGGAGCAUGUGGUUUAAUUCGAUGCAACGCGAAGAACCUUACCUACUCUUGACAUCUACAGAAUCCAGCGGAGACGCCGGAGUGCCUUCGGGAACUGUAAGACAGGUGCUGCAUGGCUGUCGUCAGCUCGUGUUGUGAAAUGUUGGGUUAAGUCCCGCAACGAGCGCAACCCUUAUCCUUGAUUGCCAGCACGUAAUGGUGGGAACUUCAGGGAGACUGCCGGUGAUAAACCGGAGGAAGGUGGGGACGACGUCAAGUCAUCAUGUCCCUUACGAGUAGGGCUACACACGUGCUACAAUGGCGCAUACGGAGGGCAGCCAACCAGCGAUGGUGAGCGAACCCCAAAAAGUGCGUCGUAGUCCGGAUUGGAGUCUGCAACUCGACUCCAUGAAGUCGGAAUCGCUAGUAAUCGUAGAUCAGAAUGCUACGGUGAAUACGUUCCCGGGCCUUGUACACACCGCCCGUCACACCAUGGGAGUGGGCUGCAAAAGAAGUAGGUAGUUUAACCUUCGGGAGGACGCUCACCACUUUGUGGUUCAUGACUGGGGUG
rnacentral:rRNA from 1 species